CGGCUAACUCCGGGCCAGAGGGCGCGGUAAUAAGGAGGGUGCAAGCGUUAUCCGGAUUUAUUGGGUUUAAAGGGUCCGUAGGCGGGCCUAUAAGUCAGUGGUGAAAUCUAACAGCUUAACUGUGAAACUGCCGUUGAUACUGUAGGUCUUGAGUAAAUUUGAAGUGGCUGGAAUAAGUAGUGUAGCGGUGAAAUGCAUAGAUAUUACUUAGAACACCAAUUGCGAAGGCAGGUCACUAAGAUUUAACUGACGCUGAGGGACGAAAGCGUGGGGAGCGAACAGGAUUAGAUACCUGGUAGUC
rnacentral:rRNA from 1 species